GUGCCAAGCACCCCGCGGUAAAUACGGGGGGGGCAAGNGUUUUUCGGAAUUAACUGGGCGUAAAGGGGUCGUAGGCGGCCAACUAAGUCGGAUGUGAAAUCCCCAGGCUUAACCUGGGAACUGCAUCCGAUACUGGAUGGCUUGNAUUCGGGAGAGGGAUGCAGAAUUCCAGGUGUAGCGGUGAAAUGAGUAGAUAUUUGGAGGAAUACCGGUGGCGAAGGCGGCAUCCUGGACCGAGAUUGACGCUGAUGAGCGAAAGCUAGGGGAGCAAACGGGAUUAGAUACCCCGGUAGUCC
rnacentral:rRNA from 1 species